rnacentral:misc_RNA from 1 species
CACGUAGGAAUCGAGCGUUAUCCGAAUUUACUGGGCGUAAAGCGCGUGCAGGCGGUUUGGUAAGUUGGAUGUGAAAGCUCCCGGCUCAACUGGGAGAGGCCGUUCAAAACUACCAGACUUGAGGACGGUAGAGGAAGGGGGAAUUCCCGGUGUAGUAGUGAAAUGCGUAGAUAUCGGGAGGAACACCAGUGGCGAAAGCGGCCUUCUGGACCACUCCUGACACUCAGACGCGAAAGCUAGGGUAGCAAACGGG